AAUCUCCUCCUAAAUAUGAAAAUUGACAGCCUGUUUUCUAGGUUGAUUUGUAAUGUGCCAGUGAAAUCCUUCCCUGACCCAGAACUGUGUGGUUGAUGUUCUAUGGGAAAGUGCUUGGGCCUUCGGUGGUGCUUUCCGGGUACUGGUCAUCACCAUCUCCCCUUUCCUGUGUUUUCUAGAAUGCCAUAGCAAACGCGUCAACACUGGCUGAAGUUGAGAGGCUGAAGGGCUUGCUGCAGUCUGGCCAGAUUCCUGGCAGAGAGCGCAGAUCAGGGCCGAGUGAUGAGGGUGAAGAGGAGAUGGAAGACGGCACAGUCACAAAUGGGUCCUGAGCUCUGGCAGGUGCUCUGAUAAGCUCGUGGGAUGUCUUGCAUUUGAGCAUUGAGUAACAGCCUUGCUUGUGUCAGCAACGUGGAAUCUGCAGCUUUGCUGAAUGAUCAGAACUACUGCUGAUAAUUUUUUAAUAGAAACCUUGAAAUGGCAAUGCCAAUUUUCUACAAAUGGUAAAUAAAGGCAACCUACUGUGCUGCCA
rnacentral:lncRNA from 1 species